rnacentral:rRNA from 1 species
GAUGAACGCUGGCGGCGUGCCUAAUACAUGCAAGUCGAGCGAACAGACGAGGAGCUUGCUCCUCUGACGUUAGCGGCGGACGGGUGAGUAACACGUGGAUAACCUACCUAUAAGACUGGGAUAACUUCGGGAAACCGGAGCUAAUACCGGAUAAUAUAUUGAACCGCAUGGUUCAAUAGUGAAAGACGGUUUUGCUGUCACUUAUAGAUGGAUCCGCGCCGCAUUAGCUAGUUGGUAAGGUAACAGCUUACCAAGGCAACGAUGCGUAGCCGACCUGAGAGGGUGAUCGGCCACACUGGAACUGAGACACGGUCCAGUCUCCUACGGGAGGCAGCAGUAGGGAAUCUUCCGCAAUGGGCGAAAGCCUGACGGAGCAACGCCGCGUGAGUGAUGAAGGUCUUCGGAUCGUAAAACUCUGUUAUUAGGGAAGAACAAAUGUGUAAGUAACUAUGCACGUCUUGACGGUACCUAAUCAGAAAGCCACGGCUAACUACGUG